rnacentral:rRNA from 1 species
GAUGAACGCUGGCGGCGUGCCUAAUACAUGCAAGUCGAGCGAACAGACGAGGAGCUUGCGCCUCUGACGUUAGCAGCGGACGGGUGAGUAACACGUGGAUAACCUACCAAUACGACUGGGGUAACUUCGAGAAACUGGAGCUCAUACCGGAUAAUAUAUUGAACCGCAUGGUUCAAUAGUGAGAGCGGGUUUUGCUGUCACCUAUAGAUGGAUCCGCGCCGCAUUAGCUAGUUGGUAAGGUAACGGCUUACCAAGGCCACGAUGGGUAGCCGACCUGAGAGCGUGAUGGACCCCACUGAAACUGAGCCGCGGUCCAGACUCCUACAGGAGGCAGCGGUAGGUAAUCGUCCGCAAUGGGCGAAAGCCUGACGGAGCAACGCCGCGUGGAUGAUGAGGGUCUGCGGAUGGUAAAACUCUGUUAUUGGGGAAGAACAAAUUCGUAAGUAACUAUGCACGUCUUGACGGUACCUAGUCAGAAAGCCCCGGCUAACUACGUG